rnacentral:tRNA from 1 species
GGUUCAAUGGUCUAAUGGUUAUGAUUUCUGUCUCACAUAUGUGUUCGGGCCACAGAAGGUUCCCAGUUCGAUCCUGGGUUGAACCA